GCCGACGUAGCUCAACAGGCAGAGCAACGCUCUUGUAAAGCGUAGGUUAUGGGUUCAAUUCCCAUCGUCGGCU
rnacentral:tRNA from 1 species